rnacentral:rRNA from 1 species
GACGAACGCUGGCGGCGUGCCUAAUACAUGCAAGUUGAGCGCUGAAGGUUGGUACUUGUGCCGACUGGAUGAGCAGCGAACGGGUGAGUAACGCGUGGGGAAUCUGCCUUUGAGCGGGGGACAACAUGUGGAAACGAAUGCUAAUACCGCAUAAAAACUUUAAACACAAGUUUUAAGUUUGAAAGAUGCAAUUGCGGCACUUAAAGAUGAUCCCGCGUUGUAUUAGCUAGUUGGUGGGGUAGUGGCUUACCAAGGCGUUGAUGGGUAGCCGACCUGAGAGGGUGACCGGCCACAUUGGGACUGAGAUACGGCCCAGACUGCUACGGGAGGCAGCAGUGGGGAAUAUUGCACAAUGGGCGGAAGCCUGAUGCAGCAACGCCGCGUGCGGGAUGACGGCCUUCGGGUUGUAAACCGCGUUCGCCUGUGACGAAGCGUGAGUGACGGUAAUGGGUAAAGAAGCACCGGCUAACUACGUG